AACGAACGCUGGCGGCACGCCUAACACAUGCAAGUCGAACGGGACUUAUGCCUUCGGGUGUAAGUCUAGUGGCGGACGGGUGAGUAACGCGUGGGAACCAGCCCUGCAGUAAGGAAUAACUUCGGGAAACCGAAGCUAAUAACGUACACGACCUUCGGUGGAAAGGUUUAUCGCUGUAGGAUGGGCCCGCGUAAGAUUAGCUAGUUGGCGGGGUAAUGGCUCACCAAGGCUAUGAUCUUUAGCUGGUCUGAGAGGAUGGCCAGCCACACUGGGACUGAGACACGGCCCAGACUCCUACGGGAGGCAGCAGUGGGGAAUAUUGGACAAUGGGGGCAACCCUGAUCCAGCGAUGCCGCGUGAGUGAAGAAGGCCUUCGGGUUGUAAAACUCUUUCACCUGUGACGAUGAUGACGGUAGCAGGAGAAGAAGCACCGGCUAACUCCGUGCCAGCCGCCGCCGUAAGAC
rnacentral:rRNA from 1 species